rnacentral:tRNA from 1 species
GCCUGGGUGGCUCAGUGGAUUGAGCAUCUGACUUAGGCUCAGGUCAUGAUCUUGAGGUUUUUGAGUUCAAGCCCCACAUCAGGCU